rnacentral:rRNA from 1 species
UAGUCAUAUGCUUGUCUCAGAGAUUAAGCCAUGCAUGUCUAAGUACAGACCUUUAAACGGUGAAACCGCGAAUGGCUCAUUAAAUCAGCUAUGGUUCCUUAGAUCGUACAUACUACAUGGAUAACUGUAGUAAUUCUAGAGCUAAUACAUGCAAAUAUGCCCUGACCCGCGAGGGGACGGGUGCUUUUAUUAGAACAGAACCAACGUUUGCAUUCUGUGAUGACUCUGGAUAACUUCGAUGAUCGCAGUCGGCCAUGUGUCGGCGACGGAUCUUUCAAGUGUCUGCCCUAUCAACUUUCGAUGGUAGGUGACCUGCCUACCAUGGUGAUAACGGGUAACGGGGAAUCAGGGUUCGAUUCCGGAGAGGGAGCCUGAGAAACGGCUACCACAUCCAAGGAAGGCAGCAGGCGCGUAAAUUACCCACUCCCAGCACGGGGAGGUAGUGACGAAAAAUACGGAUGCGGGACUCUUUAGAGGCUCCGUAAUUCGAAUGAGUACACUUUAAAUCCUUUAACGAGGAUCAACUGGAGGGCAAGUCUGGUGCCAGCAGCCGCGGUAACUCCAGCUCCAGAAGCGUAUAUUAAAGUUGUUGCAGUUAAAAAGCUCGUAGUUGGAUCUGGGUCGCAUGGCUUCAUAUCGUGGCCUAUUUGCGGGUGGUGUAUACUGCUCUCAUUUGGGUCGAUGUUGGGGCCGUGCAGCCUUUCAGUCGUGUCUGUGUUAACAGGUGUUGGCUAGGUCGGUGGGUUUUCUCGCUGAUCUGUCAGCAUGCUUCCAGAUGCCUUUAAACGGGUGUCGGGAGCGGACGACACGUUUACUUUGAACAAAUUUGAGUGCUCAAAGCAGGCCUGUGUGCCUAAAAAGUCUUGCAUGGAAUAAUGGAAUAGGACUUCGGUUCUAUUUUGUUGGUUUUCGGAUCCGAAGUAAUGGUUAAGAGGGACAGACGGGGGCAUUUGAAUGGCGGUGUUAGAGGUGAAAUUCUUGGAUCGCCGCCAGUCAAGCUACAGCGAAAGCAUUUGCCAAGAAUGUUUUCAUUGAUCAGGAGCGAAAGUCAGAGGUUCGAAGACGAUCAGAUACCGUCCUAGUUCUGACCAUAAACGAUGCCAACUGACGAUCCGUGGUGGUUCUAUUUUUGGCCCCGCGGGCAGUCUCCGGAAAACCCUUAAGUCUUUGGGCUCCGGGGGAAGUAUGGUUGCAAAGCUGAAACUUAAAGGAAUUGACGGAAGGGCACCACCAGGAGUGGAGCCUGCGGCUUAAUUCGACUCAACACGGGAAAACUCACCCGGCCCGGACACUGUGAGGAUUGACAGAUUGAUAGCUCUUUCUUGAUUCGGUGGUUGGUGGUGCAUGGCCGUUCUUAGUUGGUGGAGCGAUUUGUCUGGUUAAUUCCGAUAACGAACGAGACUUUCACCUGCUAAAUAGUACAUCUGUUCUCUGUGCUUGUCUAGGGACCGUCGUACACUGCCUCUUCCUGGGGUGGUGUUGUCGUUUCCCGGUGAGUACGGCGCAGAUGUUUACUUCUUAGAGGGACAAGCGGCUCGGCAGUCGCACGAAAUUGAGCAAUAACAGGUCUGUGAUGCCCUUAGAUGUCCGGGGCCGCACGUGCGCUACAAUGACGGUGCCAGCGAGUCUGGAAUCCUGGCCCGAAAGGGUCGGGCAAACUGUUUCAUCACCGUCGUGACUGGGAUCGGGGCUUGCAAUUGUUCCCCGUGAACGAGGAAUUCCUGGUAAGUGCGAGUCAUAAGCUCGCGCUGAUUACGUCCCUGCCCUUUGUACACACCGCCCGUCGCUACUACCGAUUGAAUGGUUUAGCAAGGUCCUCGGAUUGGUCCAAUUGUAGUGGUUUCUGCCGCUCGACCGUGGCUGAGAAGACACCAAACUUGAUCAUUUAGA